rnacentral:sRNA from 1 species
GUCGUGAGAUGUUGGGUUAAGUCCCGCAACGAGCGCAACCCUCGUCCUAUGUUGCCAGCGAGUAAUGUCGGGGACUCAUAGGAGACUGCCGGGGUCAACUCGGAGGAAGGUGGGGAUGACGUCAAAUCAUCAUGCCCCUUAUGUCUUGGGCUGCACACAUGCUACAAUGGCCGGUACAAAGGGCUGCAAUACCGCAAGGUGGAGCUAAUCCCAAAAAGCCGGUCUCAGUUCGGAUUGGGGUCUGCAACUCGACCCCAUGAAGUCGGAGUCGCUAGUAAUCGCAGAUCAGCAACGCUGCGGUGAAUACGUUCCCGGGCCUUGUACACACCGCCCGUCACGUCACGAAAGUCGGUAACACCCGAAGCCGGUGGCCCAACUCGCAAGAGAGGGAGCCGUCGAAGGUGGGAUCGGCGAUUGGGACGAAGUCGUAACAAGGUAGCCGUACCGGAAGGUGCGGCUGGAUCACCUCCUUUCUAAGGAGCACCUGGCGAGUGACCUUCGGGUCGCUCGUCGAGAGCCAUGCCUCGGGCGAAUGUUCCGAGGAUGGUGCUCAAGGGUGGAACAUUGACCAGUUGGCAGGCCCCGGUGGCCCCGUCGUCCAGUACGGCUGCACUCGUGCAGCUGGAACGGGACGGGAACACUGAUGGUCUGCCUCGGCACGCUGUUGGGUCCUGAGGGAACGGGCAUCACGCCCUUCACCUCGGACCGUCCCGCCGGCGCCUCCUCGCAUUCGCGAUGUGGCGCCGUCGUGGCGCGAGUGGGACAGCUCCUUCGUCGAACGCCCGGAACUCCGGUGACGCGACGAGCCAGGACCUGGACUCCCGCCCGUACCUUGAGAACUGCACAGUGGACGCGAGCAUCAAAUACUUUGUGGCCAAGUUAGUAAGGGCGCACGGUGGAUGCCUUGGCACCAGGAGCCGAUGAAGGACGUAGGAGGCUGCGAAAAGCCUCGGGGAGCUGCCAACCGAGCUUCGAUCCGAGGAUUU